GGGUGAUAAUCCAAGUUGGGGAGAAGGAGGGAUAGAAACUGAAUCUGCUAGAGGAUGCCACAAACAGCUGGGGGUAAGAUUGCUGGCAGGAGUGGGGAAGCUGAGCAGGACAGGGACAGUCACAGCCUAUGGUGCUGCAGAGGCCAGGAGUCCGAGCAGUUUCUUUGCCCUGGACUCUGAAGACACGGCUAGGACCAGUGGAGGGGAGGGACCAGGGCAGGUUUAACUGUUAUUUGAGGGACAGAGUCACUCGUGCAGAAACAGGCAGCCAGGGGUGAUGCAGGGAACUCAAGUUUUGGGGUAGUGGGGAAGCCAGGCCCACCUGAGGGGUUGCUGCAUAGAGGAGCACUCGAGAGAGGAUGGAUCUAGGGCCUUCCACCACCAGGAGGCUUUCCCAGGGAUACACGGGCAGAUGCCCCACCUGACCUGAUCCCUUGCACACACAUGCCAAAUCCACGUGGAUGUACACACAUACACGCCCCACAGUGAAGGCGUGUCCACUGCCAGCCAGACUAGGGCCCCACAAACAGGCACACAACCUA
rnacentral:lncRNA from 1 species